rnacentral:rRNA from 1 species
AUUGAACGCUGGCGGCAUGCUUUACACAUGCAAGUCGAACGGCAGCGCGGGCUUCGGCCUGGCGGCGAGUGGCGAACGGGUGAGUAAUGCAUCGGAACGUGCCCAGUAAUGGGGGAUAGCCCGGCGAAAGCCGGAUUAAUACCGCAUACGACCUGAGGGUGAAAGCGGGGGACCGAAAGGCCUCGCGCUAUUGGAGCGGCCGAUGUCGGAUUAGCUAGUUGGUGGGGUAAAGGCUUACCAAGGCGACGAUCCGUAGCUGGUCUGAGAGGACGACCAGCCACACUGGGACUGAGACACGGCCCAGACUCCUACGGGAGGCAGCAGUGGGGAAUUUUGGACAAUGGGGGCAACCCUGAUCCAGCCAUGCCGCGUGCGGGAAGAAGGCCUUCGGGUUGUAAACCGCUUUUGUUCGGGAAGAAAUCCUCUGGGCUAAUACCCCGGGGGGAUGACGGUACCGGAAGAAUAAGCACCGGCUAACUACGUG